rnacentral:tRNA from 1 species
GGCUCGGUAGCGUAGUUGGUAAAGCGCUCGUCUAGCAUACAAGAGUCCUGGGUUCAAAUCCCAGCCGAGCAC